GACGAGAUCCUGUUCGACGGGGUCGAAGUUGGGCCCAUUUGCGCGUGUAUUGGUAGUUGCCGAGCGUUUUUAGGGUCAAUCGGACGUUUUCACGUAUUGCACUACUCAGUGCUAUCGUGUUUUUAGUCUUGCGAGCAUUUGAGUAAAAGCGCUCAGCAGCUCUCAGAAUCCUUUUUCUCUUUGUGAUCCCGGGCGGUUGAAGAGACCACAACAAAUCCAUCCAAAAUGGACGCGAUCAAGAAGAAGAUGCAGGCGAUGAAGCUGGAGAAGGACAACGCCGCCGACAAGGCCGAUACCUGCGAGAACCAGUCGAAGGAGGCGAACCUGCGCGCCGACAAGAUCAUGGAGGAGGUCGCCGAGCUGACCAAGCGUCUGGCUCAGGUCACCCAGGAUCACGAAACCUUCAAGGCCACCCUGGAGCAGGCCAACAAGGAUCUGGAGGAGAAGGAGAAGACCCUGACCGCGACCGAGGCCAACGUUGCUGCCCUGACCCGCAAGGUCCAGCAGGUUGAGGAGGAUCUGGAGAAGUCCGAGGAACGUUCGGGCGCUGCCCUGGCUAAGCUGCUGGAGGCCACCCAGUCCGCUGACGAGAACAACCGUAUGUGCAAGGUAUUGGAGAACCGUUCCCAGCAGGACGAGGAACGUAUGGACCAGCUCAGCAACCAGCUGAAGGAAGCCCGUAUGCUCGCUGAAGACGCUGACGGCAAGUCUGAUGAAGUGUCCCGCAAGCUGGCCUUCGUUGAAGACGAGCUGGAAGUCGCUGAAGAUCGUGUCAAGUCCGGAGAGGCCAAGAUCAUGGAACUGGAAGAAGAAUUGAAGGUCGUCGGUAACUCGCUCAAGUCUCUGGAGGUCUCGGAAGACAAGGCCAACCAGAGAGUCGAGGAAUUCAAGCGCCAGCUGAAGUCCCUGACCAUCAAGCUGAAGGAGGCCGAAACUCGUGCCGAGAACGCCGAGAAGAACGUCAAAAAGCUCCAGAAGGAAGUCGACAGACUAGAAGACAAAUUGAUGAACGAGAAGGAAAAGUACAAAGCAAUCUGCGACGACCUGGAUUCCACCUUCGCCGAACUUACCGGAUACUAAUCCAGCGGCACUUACCGCUUUCAUGUUACCACCAAUACUACUACCACUGCUACUACUUAUACUACCACCACCAAGCACUUCUUGUACUAUCACUUUUAGCACAAGCACAGUAAACCAAACAACCAAACAAUUUACUACCACUUCCAAGUUGUACUACUAGUAGACUAGCACCAAAUCCACUACCAACAAACAAAAACAAAAAAACAUCCAAGCAACCAUGCAAAACAAUUGAAAAUCAUAACUAGCCCCACCCGAAGUAGCCGUUCGGGAAACGUUCGGGCCGGCUUCGGUUCGUCUUCGGUUGGUUGCAUGUUCGGCGGGCUACUCCGUCGGGUUUCUCCUAUUGUUCCAAGCUUCGUUCGUUGAACUGCUGCUGUUGCUGCUGCUGCUACGAUCGCUGGCGAGACCCGUACUCUUCGAUAUGAUGUUGAAUGUGAUGUUAUUAACACACACCUAUAAAUGUUACGUUUCCAAGAAAGGUUGGGAACUCGAAAAAAUGGUUGUUUUAAAAAAGGUUUUUAGACGAACUGGGCGUCAACAAGGACCGAUACAAGUCUCUGGCCGACGAGAUGGACUCGACCUUCGCCGAAUUGGCCGGAUACUAAGUCCCUGCGGAAGUCCUGCGUGGUGUCUCAAACUUAUAUACUUACAAUAUUCUCCAUACUUAUGCCCCAACAUCGAGCAUCGUUUGAUUUAGAACUUUUCCUCUCAUGAAAGUCGCCGCCAGCGUUAUUUUACCAUCCAUCAGCAGGUGUAUAUAGAAGAUCAGAAAACAAAAGAGCAUCAUAGUAAACAUAAAAAAGGAAACAGUAAGCAUUAAGCGAUUGGAGCCGAAGGACGAUUAAAAAGGAGAAAUAUGAGAAUGGAAAACAAUGUAACAACAAAACCGAAACUAGCCGAAAACAGCCGAACAUUGCCGAACGGACGUCGCGUGUUGAAGAAAGAAUUUACGUUAAAAAAAAAUCAGAUGCAAAACAACAAAAUAACAAGGAUGAAAUUAUUAAAGCAGCUUAAAAAUUCAUGUCCUAUCGGUUUAAGAAAAUUAGAGCUAAGGUUAGGUAAUCAUUAUAGAUAAUCAUUUGACGAAAGUAUAAGCAAAACGUAAGACGUGAUCGUUCUUUUAUGAAAAGAAUAGUUGAAAAUGGAACCCAAUUAAUCAAAUCAUCAUUAUUGUUGUCGUUGUUGUCGUUGCAGCCUUACAUAGUAGGCAAAUAUAAGCAAACAAUGGUUCAUGAUCAGAAGCAAAAAAAUACUAUCCUUUGUGCUAUUUUAAUAUUGAUUAUAUUAUAACAAAAGUAGACGUUAGACCCUAUUGUUGGAAGAUUUGUAGGAAAACAAAACAGUAAAACCAAGAUCAGUUUAGUGUUGGUGUUGAAAAUAAAAACGCAGCCUCUGGAAGAUUUAUCUGAACGGAAGAGAUGAAGAAACAAAAAAAAAACUAUCAACAAUGUAUUAUUUGUAUCUUUUAAUAAUAAAAUCGCAAACCAUCUUUAUUAAAAACAAAACAAGGCCAGUUUUCAGUCGAGGGAAAAUGUAUUCUGCUCUCUUGGGAGCUUCGCUGGUGCGAAGCAAAGUUCCAGCAAGACACAUGACGUUACACAAACAAAAAAAGAAAGCACCUAGAAAAUGCUCUAUUUCUCUAUUUUUAUUAGAUGAAAUUGAAUGGUAAUACCUAUUUAUUGUAAUGCUAAGUUUUGAUUAAUUUUGUAAAAUAAAAGUUAUAUAAUAGCUAAGGAA